AGAGUUUGAUCCUGGCUCAGGAUGAACGCUAGCGGCAGGCUUAAUACAUGCAAGUCGUGGGGCAGCACAGGUAGCAAUACUGGGUGGCGACCGGCAAACGGGUGCGGAACACGUACGCAACCUUCCUUUAAGCGGGGAAUAGCCCAGGGAAACUUGGAUUAAUACCCCAUAAGACAGUGGACUGGCAUCAGUCAGCUGUUAAAGCUCCGGCACUUAAAGAUGGGCGUGCGGCUGAUUAGGUAGUUGGCGGGGUAACGGCCCACCAAGCCGACGAUCAGUAACUGGUGUGAGAGCACGACCAGUCACACGGGCACUGAGACACGGGCCCGACUCCUACGGGAGGCAGCAGUAAGGAAUAUUGGUCAAUGGACGCAAGUCUGAACCAGCCAUGCCGCGUGGAGGAUGAAGGCCCUCUGGGUUGUAAACUUCUUUUAUAGGGGAAGAACUCUAUCCUUUCUAGGGUAGUUGACGGUACCCUGUGAAUAAGCACCGGCUAACUCCGUGCCAGCAGCCGCGGUAAUACGGAGGGUGCAAGCGUUAUCCGGAUUCACUGGGUUUAAAGGGUGCGUAGGUGGGCAGGUAAGUCAGUGGUGAAAUCUCCGGGCUUAACCCGGAAACUGCCGUUGAUACUAUUUGUCUUGAAUAUAGUGGAGGUGAGCGGAAUAUGUCAUGUAGCGGUGAAAUGCUUAGAUAUGACAUAGAACACCAAUUGCGAAGGCAGCUUGCUACACUAUUAUUGACACUGAGGCACGAAAGCGUGGGGAUCAAACAGGAUUAGAUACCCUAGUAGUCC
rnacentral:rRNA from 1 species